GAUGAACGUUGGCGGCGUGCCUAAUACAUGCAAGUCGAGCGAACGGACGAGAAGCUUGCUUCUCUGAUGUUAGCGGCGGACGGGUGAGUAACACGUGGAUAACCUACCUAUAAGACUGGGAUAACUUCGGGAAACCGGAGCUAAUACCGGAUAAUAUUUUGAACCGCAUGGUUCAAAAGUGAAAGACGGUCUUGCUGUCACUUAUAGAUGGAUCCGCGCUGCAUUAGCUAGUUGGUAAGGUAACGGCUUACCAAGGCAACGAUGCAUAGCCGACCUGAGAGGGUGAUCGGCCACACUGGAACUGAGACACGGUCCAGACUCCUACGGGAGGCAGCAGUAGGGAAUCUUCCGCAAAGGGCGAAAGCCUGACGGAGCAACGCCGCGUGAGUGAUGAAGGUCUUCGGAUCGUAAAACUCUGUUAUUAGGGAAGAACAUAUGUGUAAGUAACUGUGCACAUCUUGACGGUACCUAAUCAGAAAGCCACGGCUAACUACGUG
rnacentral:rRNA from 1 species